GAUGAACGCUAGCUACAGGCUUAACACAUGCAAGUCGCGGGGCAGCAUGGGGGUUGCUUGCAAUCCCCGAUGGCGACCGGCGCACGGGUGAGUAACGCGUAUCCAACCUGCCCUUCACCACGGGAUAACCCGGCGAAAGUCGGACUAAUACCGUAUGUUGUCCAUUGACGGCAUCCGAUUUGGACGAAAGGCUUGGCGGUGAGGGAGGGGGAUGCGUCCGAUUAGCCAGACGGCGGGGUAACGGCCCACCGUGGCUACGAUCGGUAGGGGUUCUGAGAGGAAGGUCCCCCACACUGGAACUGAGACACGGUCCAGACUCCUACGGGAGGCAGCAGUGAGGAAUAUUGGUCAAGGGGCGUAAGCCUGAACCAGCCAAGUAGCGUGCAGGAUGACGGCCCUAUGGGUGGUAAACUGCUUUUAUGCGGGGAUAAAGUGGCCCACGGGUGGGCUUUUGCAGGUACCGCAUGAAUAAGGACCGGCUAAUUCCGUG
rnacentral:rRNA from 1 species